GACUGAAAUUAAUUCAGGGCGUUUGAGGGUCGCACUUUGUCUUUAAAAUUGUUAAAAUCAUGCUUAAUUUUAAUAUUUGUCUCUAAAUUUUUUACAUUUUGUCAACGUCGAUCAUACCAUACGGUAGUCGGUGACUGUCAAAUUAUCUUCAACCACCAAAACUUCCAGCUCUGACGAAGCCCACACGCGUUGGUAAACGGAGUCACAUGCAAUGUUUCAUUUUGUUUUGAUUAGUAAUAAGACCAAACGUGUGAUAAUUUACAGAAUUGCAAUUUAUCUACAACUGUAUUAUGUCAACCCUAGGAGCCAACACAGGAAAAGCAGCUGGCGUGAAGUCUCAAAAUUAUGUCCCAUUUAUCCAUCUUUAUCAAAAUUUGAGUCAAGUUAUGAAUUAAAUGGAAAUAAUUUAUUUAAAAAAUAUAGAAAAAACCGGCCAAGUGCGAGUCAGACUCCCGAACAAAGGGUUCCGUACAUCUAUAAUCUCAUCUAUAAUAGACAAUCAUGUUUGUUGUAGUUAUACUAAUUUUUACUGUUAGUUGUUAUAUGUAUAUGUAAAUCCAUGAGAGUAAAAUUGUUGGGGGUGUAUGGGGACCCCCCUUAAUAUUUAUUUUUUUUAAUUCUAAGUAUUUGUUAUUAUAGUGGUAGCGCUAAAAUAGGUCAUCACAUUUUACCUCAAAAACAAUUGAAAGAAUUAAAAAAAAGUUUACCAUUAAAAAGUUACAUUUUGUUUUUUUGCCAAGUAACAUUAUGACUUAGCCAGAGGUUGUGUGUUCAAUUCCCACCUGGGGCAAAUAUUUGUGUGAUGAACAUAGAUGUUUACUCUGUGUCCGGGUGUAAAUUAUAAUUAUUAUCUAUGUAAGUACCUAACUAUUUAUUA